rnacentral:tRNA from 1 species
GUUGUGGCUCAGGGAUAGAGCGCUCGCCUAGCACGUGCGAGGCCCUGGGUUCGAUCCUUAGCACCACA